AGGAGGAGGAAGAGGAGGGGGGCGCAGUGACGGCACUGACACCCGGUCCAAAAUCAGCUUUUAUCCUGAUACUGUGAAAAACAUACGAAAAAGAAAAAAAUAAUCUUUUUUAUGAGCACAGGCUCGAUAUUUCUGACAUCGGGACAUCCGGACACGCCCACUGUAAAAGUCACGCCCACGAGAUAGAUGCACAUCUGUCCAGGAGCCGACACACACUGCAGGUGUGUAUCCUGCAGUCUGAUGAUCCAAAUGGAAAACAGGCAGUGGCCACCAAGGCUGCAGGUCGUCUGGUGGCCACAUGAGGCCUGCUGAAAGUGAGUGGGUCCCCACAGACUCGCGUGUUAAAUCUCCAACUUUACCACAGAAUUUAUCACCUGUUUUAAAGGUGUGGGUUUUUUUGGCAUCUAUAGUAACUCUACAGGGAUUAAUAUUUUAUACCUCACCCCUAUGGACACCAGGGUACUAGCUAACAAUGAGCCAAAAGUAGCUACAACACAACACGCGUUUGAUUUGCAGAUUAAAACAAUACAUAAAUGAGCAUAAAGAAGUUAAUUAAAGGGAACCUCUGAGGCUCAUUUCUAGCUUCAUAUGUUUAUCAUUUGACUUUGUUAGAGCAGCUUUGCAUGAUUAAUAGUUUAAAAUAAUCUGUUUUAAAGCCCGUCACUUCAUCUUGUUUGAAAUAAGUCAGUCUGGCUCCUCCCCCUGAAACCCAGCUGUCUUCUGAUUGACUGCCCCUCUUAAAAAGAAGGCAGCGCUAGGAUGACUAUGUAAGUUCACCCAAAUUUCAUCCUCGGAGCCACACAUUUUUUAACUUUGGACAUGUUUACCAUGUACAGAUAUAACCCAGUGUUGUAACAGUGAAUAUGUGACAGAAACAAGGAAAGGCAAAUCCAUCCUCUUUUAUUAUAAACCUUUAUUAAAGUGUGAAUAAACGAGCAACCGUGCACUGUAUUUGUGUAUUUGUGUCUCCUGAUAAGCUGUAGAUGUUUGAUGGGUUCAGUUGUGUCUUUGACUGCCCUCUUCUGGGAUUGUGUUUUAAUAAGACCACAUUAAACAGCUUAUACUCACAGAAAAUUGAAAAUAAUAAUAGUAGUAUAGAGUUCUUAAGUUGUAGUUUUCACUAAAACCACUCACUCACCCAGAGCCAAACACUUUGGCUACGCCUUCAAGGCUUCUGUAAAUCAUACCGGUAUUAAACUCACUUUAAAAUAUGAUGAUAUUAUGGUCAAAGCUAAACACCAGUCCCUCUGAACAUGGAUUUGAAAAGAAUUUAAAAAAAAAGAGUUUGGUUCUUUUCACAUAUUUGGUCACAAAAAAAGUCUUUUACUACACAUCAUCCAUCAGAGCCGGGGCAGAUUAGAUGUGCUGUAAUAUUUUCUUUGGUUAUACAACAGUCGUUAGGUCAUGUGGAUUGAUUUCACCGAUGUCUGCUUGUACAUGUUGCCUACUUGCUCGCUGCAGAUUGUUCUGUGUCCACAGAGAUGAUACGGACCACCGAUUCCAGCAUGUCUUUGCCAUUUCUGAUGGUUUUUUAAUGCAGUACUCUUUGAGUGAAGCUGAACUUCAGGAUAAUGGAUAAUACUUGAUCCCGGCCAAGUGGGUUUCUUGAUUGUGGGGCCUGAGGUUUCAUAUAAAUAGCACUGGAAACUUUCCAGCAAGAAUGGAAAAAAGUGGUCAGGGCUCUAGGCAACUGGUUUCAUUGUGCCUUAUUAACCCUUUAGAGCAAAGAGCCCAGAGUGAUCUAAAGGCAGCCAGGAUACGAGCGACACUUCUACAUCGGUUUCUGAUGUGGCCUGGAAAACGUUCUUCUAAAUCAGUUGGAAAUUGUUUACUCUCUCGUGAUGAUGCCGACAUGAUUCAAGGCCUUUAAGCUGCCAUGAAACUGGGCCUGUCUAACCUCCAAAGCUACAUCAGACUCGGCACGGAGUUACUAAACAAGCUGAAUUCCCCCAACCUCCCAGACGCAAGAAAUAACUGUGGGGAAGGAGGGAAGAGGAAGGAGGAGGAGUGGGUGGGGAGGAGGAGGGGGGCGACAAAUUAAAUCCAGUUAAAUUGUUUUUCCAUAGCCAGUAGGCUUGGCAAAGGACUCGCUCACACACACAAGAUGUAAGAUAAGUUGUAGAAAAGACAAACCAGAAACAGUGCGGCUUCAGAUGUAGGAGAAUGCCUGGAAUUUAACCCAGUUUCCCAUGUCCGCCUCACACCGCACCCACUGCCCUGCCCAGCAGCUCAGGACGUCCACAUCGACACACGCAAACAGGUGAUUCCCCACAGCGACACAUCUGUCCUGCACCAGCCCUCCCCUGGUCCAGCUUUGAUCAGCCCUCUGAGAUGUUUGGUACAUCAAUAACCCACACAGCCUGCCUACCUCCUUCCUCUGGCAUUGGGAUCACAAUGCAGUCACUGCAGAGGAAAGCUGCAGUUCUAGCACAAUUUGAAGCACCAAGGCUAGGUAGCUAGCUAGCAGACAUAUCUGGGUCAUGUCUUCCCUUUCAGAUAGCUCCCGUAUCCAGGAUGCAGCAGCUCCUCUUCCUCUCCACCGCAAUCUCAAAUCAGAAGGAAGAGGAUGUGAGGGCUAUAGCAUGGUUGGCCAGGAAUAGCCAAGCAAAAAAAGAGAAGAGCUAAAGUUGGGACAGUACAGAGGCCAGGUGGUGAUGCUGAAAGUAGAAAUAAGGCCAAGCAUCCCUGCUGUUUGCAUUAAAAUGAGCAGAAUCAAACACACAAACAGAUGCUUCUUUCUUACACCUUUAUAAAAACGACAACAAAACGUACAUUCAGAUCUGUCGAGUGACAGCAGGACAGCGUCACAAUGAGAAACAUGAAUAAAUAGCUGAUGUCAGAGUUUGUCCGGUCACACUGAUAGUGAGGCGCAGCUGGCCCCUCCCCACAGGUGUAAAGCACAGGUGAAAAGCACAGGUGAAUGAGCCAGUCGCAGAAACUCGAUCCCAGUCUUACAAUCGACUGCAGCUCCCUCUCUAGAGUCAUUUCCACUGAGUGGGUCAAUAAACCGAGGAACACACUGAGACACAGGUCACAUUUUAGCAUUUAAAGUCCAACUGAAAUCACAUCUCCGUCUGCUGUAGUCUAGUCAAAGUGAUUUUAAAGUGUAAAGCUAUUCUUAUUUCUGUUAAUGAUAAGAGACAAUAAUGAUUUGGGGCAUCAAAAACACCCUGGCAGCCUCUCAGCCUCUGAGUUAGUUGGUUACCAUUCAUGUUUCAGUGAAAGCUGAGUCAGUGCAAGCAGAUAAUGUUAACAAAUGUGCGCAGCUAAAUGAGCUACAUGAUACACAGCCAUCUUUAUGCUACGUCACUAAGUUGCUA